rnacentral:rRNA from 1 species
AUUGAACGCUGGCGGCAGGCUUAACACAUGCAAGUCGAACGAGUGGCGGACGGGUGAGUAAUGCUUGGGAAUCUGGCUUAUGGAGGGGGAUAACGACGGGAAACUGUCGCUAAUACCGCGUACCAUAGGAUGAGCCCAAGUGGGAUUAGGUAGUUGGUGGGGUAAUGGCCUACCAAGCCGACGAUCUCUAGCUGGUCUGAGAGGUUGACCGGCACACCCGGGACGGAGCAACGGCCCGGACUCCUCCGGGAGGCAGCAGGGGGGAAUAUUGGGCAAUGGGGGCAACCUGACGCAGCCAUGCCGCGUGAAUGAAGAAGGCCUCCGGGUGGUAAAGUUCUUUCGGUGACGAGGCGUUAAUCACAGAAGAAGCACCGGCUAACUCCGUGCCAGCAGCCGCGGUAAUUC